UAGAUCGCAUAGGGUUAAGAACUGAUCCCUGUGCGACUCCACUAGAAACACUCCCACUCCAUGAUGAUUCCCCGUUUACAAUUACAUUUUGAGAUCUAUCAGUUGGCCAGUUUUUGUGCCAUGAUGAUUUUAUAUCAUUCAAGUGUUUUAAUCAACAUUUUGUGCAAUACUAAGUCAAAUGCUUUACAGAGGUCUAAGUAUAUUAUAUCAAGACUGUUAUCUUAAUCAAUCUUGUAAUAUUAAAAAAAAUCAAGUUAGUUUGACAGGUUCUUUUUCCAUAAACCCAUUAAUUUUGUUAUCCUUCUUUAAUCCUUUGGGCUGAUGGUCCUUUUAAUCCUCAAUGCCACAGGGGUCCUCGGACCCACUUCCAUCAUGAGGACUGCUUGUCAGUCACAUACAGUAGAAUACACAGAGGGACCGGCACUUGAAGAAAUAAAGGCUACCUACUUUCCAUAACCGGAGUUCUUCAAGAUGUGUGAUCCUUAUCUGUAUUCCACUUCCUACUCUCCUUCCCCUCUGCUUCAGAUCAUAGGCUCUAUUCAUGGUAGAGAAGGAACUGGAGACCAUUAUACCUUUGCUUCAGAACACAAGGAAGGGAAGAGUACAGGCACAGACCAACAGAUGCUACUAGCAAGAAUUUUCUGGUCUUAAGUGCAUGGAGCACAUGUGUUUCCAUAAUGGAAUAUAGCUAGGGACCACACAUGUCGAAGAACUCCUGUUACAGAGGGAAGGUUUCCUUUGUUUUUUGUAUUAUACUUCAGCCCCACCCAACUAUUUUUUAAAUGUAGUCUUUGUUUUUUAUGUUAACUGUGUUAAAAUAAACAAUAAAGAACAAAGAGAAGAAAGGUAUCUAAUCUGGAAUAGAACCAACAUCUGAUUUUACAACAAAGAAAGAUCAAAUUUCAUUAUUAAGGGCAAAGAAUAGUAUAACAAAGACAGCUGUUGUCUGGUUAAAGAGAUCUGCCUGCACAGAAAUGUAGUAACGGUCAUUUUAUUAUUCAUUCCCAGUUUGGGGUUUUUUGUACAGUAAGAUCAAAACUAAUCUCCAGAGCUAUUUCCUUUCAGAAAAAGAGACAAGCAGAAGAGAAAAGGGAGUGUUGAGAGGAAAAGGAGGGCGAAGGUAAAGCCUGAGAGGGAAAUAAGAGGAGAGGAGAAGAAUGAUAGGCCAGAGAGGAGAGGGGGAAGAGGAAGGAGAUGGAUUGAGGAGACAGGAGGGGUCUAAGGUCUGGGUAGUGGGUGCAAAAAAGUUUACCCAAUGGGGACUUUAUAACUGAUUAUUCCAAUGCUUCUAAAAAUGGGACCCGUAUAUUUAUAAGUUGGUUGUUUCUGCUGUAAAACAUGAUUUGUUCCAUUGCCACCAGGUUCCCCAUGUGAAAACACCAUUCUUCGAUAGUUGGGUGCAAAUAGGACUGCCACCAUUGUAGAACUAGAUGUUUGGCUGUGAUCAAGUUCUACCCAGCCAUACUGUUUCAAACGCCUUCAGUUUCCAAGAUAGAUUGGUUAUGAUGGUGUGGCCAGCCUGCAGUUACACAUUGGUGGACAGAAAGAAAUUGGUCCAUAUAUUUAUCUCUGUCCAGAAAAGACAGCUCGCAGGACAAUCCCAAAGCAUAUGAUAAAAGCGGACUCCCAAGCCUGUGACUGAUUUCCUCCUGGUGCCAGCGAAAAGUUUUGUCUAAGAGGGUGACAUUAUGCACUUUCUGAGAGAUGCUGACAGCCUCCAACUUGUGCCAAUUAAUUUUGUGCCCUGGGAUUUUCACAAACAAUUCAAAGGAUUACAGUGACCCAAGGGCAGAGGAGCACAUAUGGGUUCAGGGAUUCCUGGGGUUUACCAAAAAGGGAUAAUGAAAGGUCUCUACUGAAAGCCUGUUUCACACUGGUCAUCAUGAUUGUGAGAUGUACGUACAGAGAAUAGCUGAGGGGUUAUGUAUCUAUGCUGAAAAUUAUGCUCACGAGGCCUUGUAGUCAAAGGCAGGUCACCCAAAGAUAGCAUGCCUUGAGACAUACUUCUCCAGACAGGGAGGUGGGAGACGCUUAUAGCCCUGGUGGACCAUUCUGUCUCUUACAACAGAAGUCUAUAAGCAUACUGAGUCAAGUGUUAAUGAAGAACUUACCGGGACUUCAGAAGGAAAUUAACAAGAGGAGUUGCACAGUGUGGGGGAUGACCCUGUUUUCAGGUGAAGAUUGAUAGGUCUGAGUCUGGUAUAUCUGGGGUGCAGACAGACACCUGAGCUACCUGCAACUUGUGAAGACAAACCUGCUGCAAGCUUGAUCUUAUGAAAGGGGGAUGGAUAUCAGCAUUAUUCUGGUACAUUUAAACUGUCAAAACAUUUAUUGAUUGUCUGGCCAACAUUUUAAAAAUAUAGUAAACUUGAUUAAAAAACCCUAGGUAUUCAAUUAUACAAUACACACUUUUGAAAAUACAAUUUUUAGCUCUUAAAAAACACAUUUGUGCACUGAAAAGCUAGAGAUAAUGUCUUCAAGUUUCACCUAAUUCUUCCUUGGGUUUAUUUGAAAACUAUACACAAAACAGUCAUUAAAGCCAAGAAAUGCAAAGUAGGCUUUACUGCUGCUGAAAUGCUUUCAAAAUCCGGAUAAAGAGGUUUGGUAGGGCAUGAAGCAACUCUUGCUAUGGUGGAGACCUCUGAGAAAACAAAGUCAUAUUUCAAAGCACUGAAGCUUUCAGGACAGUUUGGUACUUGCAGUGUCUUUAGUAUUGAUCCAGAUCCAGGUGCUGUAGCCUAAGGACAAAAACGGGAAAAUGUUCUUACUAGCUUGUUUAACAUGCUAGCUCUAGUCAUUUUAGUUGCAUAAUUUACUUUACAAAUCUUGUAGAGUGCUUCUUUGCAUCUAAUGCACAGAUUAGAUGUAGUGCUCCUCCUGCAUAAAUUAGUUAGGUAGAUUGUGAAAGUAAAGAUAAAGGUACAGUAUAGAGUGAACAUUAAAUGAGAAGGGUGAGAAAUAUUUUAUAUACGUUUAAGUCUAAUUGCAAUAACAUUGUAGAUAACAGAAGAGAAAACAUACUAGGAUCUCUUGGCAACUUUUUCACAGAGAACAAAAGGGAUUUAGUUACUUUUGCUUUAGCUCGCUUAUUGGCUAAUGAUGAAUGAACAAUUGGGUGACUCAAAUUAUCAGAGCAAAAGAAAUGAAGACUGCAUUGAGUGAGCCGAAAUAAGAAUACUUUGUUUGAUUAAGAGGCUAGGAUCAAGAGUAUGUGCUGGGUAGAACUCAGAAUGUGUUUGUCCAUAUUGGAUGGAAAUAUCCAGAGGGAAUAAUGACCUCUGACAGCAGUCAGGAUUUCUUCUUGCUGCUUGUUGCAUGUAUUAACAUUUAGAUGGGAGUCUCCAUCUUGCAUAGGCCAAACAACUAAAGUCAACAAUUGUCAUUCACUUUGCUGGCUGUAGGUUGGAAAGUGUAUUUAUGUUUUUUUAAAUAAGAUUCUAUUCUUCUGAAAAAGUGACUGUAUAAAAAUGGCAGCUUCUUACUCAGUCAAUCCCCUCGCAAGGUGCAGUCAUAUCUGUUAACUUAAGUGAUGUGUUUACUUUUGUAGCUCUGCAGAAUCAACACAGCUAAGAUUGAGUGAGCAGUGGAUUUUAUUUUAUCUUGUAAAUUAACAGAAAUGUGUAUUAAGUUACAAUUAGUUCAAUCUAUGAAACUCUUUUGAAGAGCUGAAUGAUGCAGUCAAAGACCUAAAGUUGGCCUGCAAAACCUGUCAGUUGUGGUGAUGCAUUAGAAGGAAAAACCCAGCUUCACUUUGAUCCCCAAUAUAAGUUUACAGGGCUGGUAGGUAGGAAAAAAAAUCUCGUCACUUAUAAACAGAUAUCUGAUGCAAAAAUCCACUGAAGCAAUAAGUAAGGCUACAAUUUAGUCACAGAAGUCAUGGAUUC